rnacentral:rRNA from 1 species
UCGGGGUACUCGAGCGGCGAACGGGUGAGUAACACGUGAGUAACCUGCCCUAGGCUUUGGGAUAACCCUCGGAAACGGGGGCUAAUACCGGAUAUGACUUCCUGUCGCAUGGUGGGGAGUGGAAAGUUUUUCGGCCUGGGAUGGACUCGCGGCCUAUCAGCUUGUUGGUGGGGUAAUGGCCUACCAAGGCGACGACGGGUAGCCGGCCUGAGAGGGCGACCGGCCACACUGGGACUGAGACACGGCCCAGACUCCUACGGGAGGCAGCAGUGGGGAAUAUUGCACAAUGGGCGAAAGCCUGAUGCAGCGACGCCGCGUGAGGGAUGACGGCCUUCGGGUUGUAAACCUCUUUCAGCAGGGACGAAGCGUAAGUGACGGUACCUGCAGAAGAAGCGCCGGCCAACUACGUGCCAGCAGCCGCGGUAAGACGUAGGGCGCGAGCGUUGUCCGGAUUUAUUGGGCGUAAAGAGCUCGUAGGCGGCUUGUCGCGUCGACUGUGAAAACCCGCAGCUCAACUGCGGGCCUGCAGUCGAUACGGGCAGGCUAGAGUUCGGUAGGGGAGACUGGAAUUCCUGGUGUAGCGGUGGAAUGCGCAGAUAUC